UUUGGUCGAUGUCGAUGUUCAUUAUUUCACGGCCAUAUGUACUCUCAAGUUUCAACUCCUACUUCUUCAUCAUCAUAGAUGGCUCAUUGUUUAAACUAGACAAAUUAAUUCUGGAAUAGCUUUUUCUCCUGAACUCAACUUCCGGGUGGGGGUGGAGGAAUUCAGUAGCCUUUAUUUGGGAAGUUGGGGCACAAUCUAUAACGGAUAUUAGUUUUAUAUCUUUUGUAGUCAUUUGCGAAGUUGGCGAACAAGUUGUUGUCCUUUUUACAAAGGAAGAGAUGCAACACUCCACUACUACCUACUAUAUCCAGGAUGAGCAACCUCUAGAGAUACCGUGUGACAAGACCAGGUUCUCUACCUCCAGCCUGUUUAGCUAGCUACACUUCAAUGUUAGGCACAUCUAUGUUUUUAGAUCAUCGAACUCUGUAAUCUCCCAAGUUGUUUAAAUAUGUUUACCUUGUCAUCUUUUCAAAGAAAAAAAUGCAUGUUUUCCUCUCACUGGUAUUUCUCCUUGGCUAUUUGUUUAUGACAUUCAUAUCAUUUCUCAACUAGGUUUCCCCUGACAUAUGUGUUGCUACAAGAUCUUCUUCAAUUAUCAAACAACCUGGUCUGAGGUACUUACGCAGUCAACCCAUCAUUCAGAAGUUACUGUAUUGAUGUCUUUCAGGUAAAUUCAUCUGCUACGUUUCUAUUGAUGUAUCCAUACCCUUACACAGUACCAAAGGCAUUUCCCUGUGUAAGAGUUUGUUUGUCAUCUUAGGUAGGGAGGCAAUGAUCAGGUAGUCACUCUCAUAAAACGACAUGUAGGUGACCGGCAAAAAGAAUUUGCCCUAUCUGAAGCAUUAUAUUCUCUUAUAGACCUUACCAAAAAAAUUGUCUCUUUGUAGGUUUAUAUCAACCAUGAAUUUAGUUCUCAUUUUCUUUAUUUUUUUCAUUUUUGACUGAAAGUUUGUUAUAUAGGUGCUUCUGACGUUACUUUUUUUAGAACAUGAAAGAAGGUAGAGGACACCUCUGCCUUAUGGUUACAAGACUAUAGAAUAGAGAGAGGGUAAGGGGAAUCUAGAACUCGGACGCAACCAGGGAAUUGCUGUUAAAUGCCAUGUCGUUUCUUAGCUUUGUAGGUUUAUAUCAACCAGGGAAUCUAGAAGGUGAGUUCUGAGCUUGUUGUUAAAUGCCGUGUCGUUUCUUAGCUUCCAAGGUCCCAGCAAGCAAGCCGAGAGGUAGAUGAAACAAGUUUCAGAGUUCACGUUGUGACUCGCCUGCCAAUUUGGUAAUUAUGCUAGAAGCAGCUGCUUGCUCUGUUAGGCCAACCUUGUCUCACAGCCAGCUAGAAUAUUUGCAGCGAAGACCUAGAUGAUGGAUCGAUUCCACUGCUGGGCCAACCAUUGUCUGAACACCAAGCGUUGGAGACCAUGUUGUCCCUAGCGUUGAGUUGCCCCUAAUAGACUAACCAGAGAAAGAUUUUGUGUCUAUGUGGGUAUUUUCUUUCCCCCAAACCCAUCGAUAUGGUCAGCACCUCUUGUGUUGUCGUUUAGAACUCUGUAGAGAUCAGCCAUUGUAGUAUUUUUUUGCCAGAUAUAAGCAAUGUCCUGCUAUCAUUGCUGGUGUCAUUAUGUGGGGUAAUGUCACGUAUGUACGUAAAAAAGCAAAUCUGCAUGAACCUGCGUUGUGUGAGAUAGAGGCAUUAAAAGUUGAAUUGUCCGUUGGGUGCUGUUGAACUGCAAGAAAGCUGUGCAUUGUUGGUCAGUAGCAAACGUAUAAAGAACCGGGAGUGUGCAGUUCAGUAUUCCAAGUGGGCACUAAUAUUCAGUCCAAAAGACACCAAAUUGUUGAAGCCAAUUUGACAUUUUGUUAGGCCUUGCACAUCUGGUAGCAUUGUCAUUAGGGAACCCCACAAUGGUGAGUCGUGUGUGCCAUGCUCAGGAGUGUCUGUUUUUGGUCCACUUUUUCUCAUUUUAAUUUUGCAUAUCUAAAGUUCAUCUUUUAAUGUCAGUAUAUAUGUUUGAAACUUUUUCUGAGAAAAUUCAUAAAUGUACUCAUAUAUCGAUGAUAUAUCAUAUGAUUCCCUAUUAAGUUUCUUUACUUUAAUCUUGGCAUUCAUGCAUUCAAGAAUCUUCUUUUAACAAUUGCAAGCUCUCAUUUCAGUUUACCCUUUUGCUAGCCUGUUUUUGGAUAGUGCAUGCAAUUUUUGUUUUUCAGAUAUGUAAAGUCCGGCCAAUGUUGGGUGAAGAUUAGUCUCUCCAACUUCUAUGCAUGAUCCACAAAAGCUAUACUGACAGUAUAAAAAUGGAUUUGAUGUCAUGCAUGGAAAUCACAGUGGAAGAACGAACUAAACCCAUAGCAAUGUCAAUAAUUAGAUUACCGAUCAAGGCAUGCACAGUUAGAGAUCUGAUUCUGUUAGCGACACAUUAUAUUGUCCUUGGUUACAUAUACUCUAAUAAUUGUGUUAGUAUUUAGUUGCUGAACUAUUUCUGGUGAUGCACUAUUUACUGCUGAUAGGUGCAACCUACCGGUUUAUAAAUCAUAAGUAUGUUGUGAACAUGCCUUUUUGCAUAUAUAAUGUCAUGUGGUUUUAUAGUA